GGGCCGCGCCGGGGCCGCGCUGCCGCCGGGGGCCGCGGGGGGGCGGCCGGAGCGCGCUGCCCGCCCCCGGGGCCGCCCCCGGCUGCAGCCUGCAGCAAAGGGUUUAAUGGGGUCCAGGUACGCCGGCGGUGGUGCCGCUCCGGACUGCCUCGCCUUUGGUGUUCCGAGGUUUGUUAUCGGAGCCGGAUCUGCCUCCAGGUCAGCCGAAACCCCGCCUAGUGAGGGUAGGAAAGGCAGCACUGGGAAAGCUUCCUGGAACUCAGGCGUGGAAAACACACAGGGAACUAACGCCAUCACACCCAAGCAAGGUUAUCGUGUGGCACGAGGUCCUAGAGAAGACUUAAUGGAAAGUGGAAGCAGGAUGGAGAAUUGUGACAGAAUUGCCCCCGUCCCAGCUACCGCUGUUGUCUGCAGAAGGAUGCAGCUCAUAUUUACCCGCUGGGAUGGCCAGUGGUUCCUGUGCUGCCUGUCCUGACCCUAUGGCACAACCAAACGCCGUCCCGUUUUCUGUUAUUUUUCCUCAGAGCGGGUUGCUGCUGCCUGGUUGCGCAAGGUGUGCAGCCAGCGCAAGGAGAAACACUGGUGGCUGUGGUCAGGAGAGGAAACGAGGCUGGGACCACAGCGGCUGUGAUUUACGUACCCUUACCUCGCUGUGGAACAAAACCACUAAUGAUUUCAGCCCUCCCAUCAGCCCAGUGCCAUGCCACCUGCGUAUCAGGACAGCACAGUCCAGAGCAAGGCUUCUGUGCGAGCUGCCUGCCCACAUCUGCCAGCAGCCUUCCCAGUGAGGGCGCGCAGCUUUGGUGGGCAGGCUGCAGAUCCCACAGACGUGGGCUCCAUCACCCGUGUCCCCAGGGUGCCUGGCCUCCAUCCCGGCUGGAUUCUUCCCUUGUCCAGGCCCAUCGUUCUCUCCAGGUGGAGGAACUGGACAACGAGUAUGGGUAAACGUUUCCAUAGGCCUUUCAUUAAAGGUCUUGUGGGCCGGAAUCAAAGAGAGCAGAAAUGUCUCCAGAUUUUGGAAGAGUUACUGCAGUUCUCAAGGUCCAGUUGUACCCUCUCCUUUAGUUGCUUAAAUUGCAAUUAGCAUGUGUCUUCUGGACCGUCAGCUUGGAGGGCCCGUUCUUUAAUGGAAAAGUUGUAUUGGUUAUUGUAAAAAAAAAACAAAACUGAACUGCAGCUGAGCCGAUUCUGAGGGCUGACUUUUGGCUGAACCAGUUUCUGCGCCUUUGGAUGUUAUUCAGCAGAGGUUGUGUUAUGAGUUCUGAGCAGAAGUGGCAAACAAGCCUUAUGAAAUACACAUUUUUCCACUUAAAAUCAUCAUCCCGCAGCUGGUAAGAAUUGAUUUUUUAGCAUUUUAAAUAUUGUGCCUGAUUUACCCAGUGCAGCAUGCCAGUUCUGUGCCGGUGUAAGCCUUGAUCCCAGAGGAGUUGUAGCAGUGAGAAGUGAACUCACUGAUGAGCCAAGCCCCAGAUGUCGCAGAAGAAUCCUCACGUUGGUCACAAGGAGCGUCCUGGCAUGCAUCUCUCACUUAGCAAUAGAGCUUUGUUUAGCUGUUUUAAUUCUUCAGAAUUUCUGUGUUACUGUACAACAAGUACGUUUAAUGAAACUUGACAUCUUGCUUUUUAUUUGUAGGUAGGAAGGACGUUACCUCUGAUGCGUUCAUAAGACAGGAGUGGAUCGGAUGCCAGCCCACUCAAGGUAAAAAUGCUGCGAAUCCCUUUUUGAUGCCCAUGUUUUCCAUACAUUUCAACAAUGAAGUGGCUUGUAUAGGACUGAUGCAAAGAUCACUGAAGUCGCACAGCUCUUUGUUAAGUCCUUGUGGUUUAAUUUGGCAUCGUGGUUGACAACAGAAGCUUUUUGCCAAUAUUUUAAGAUCAAGAGUGUUUUACUUUUAUAAAAGUCUGCUUAUUGUAUGAGUUUCUAGAGUGCAUUAUGUAACUAAGGCUGGAGCACGUUUGGUAAAUAUUUAGAAGAGAACUGUCUUGCUUUUCAUCCUUGUGCUCAAAUUCAUUUACCCAGGUUUCCUCCUCCAGCCCCAUUUCCACUCACCUCUCAGGGGCAGCAAAAGCUGCACAUUACAUUUAUGCCCUCAAAUUGGAUUGUGGGAUGCUGUAACAUCAUCUUCUGAUUUCUUCACGUUAACAUUUUAUUUCAUAUAAUGUAUUUCUGAAUAAUUUAUAAUUAAAGUGCUUUUUUUUAC